GAACAGAAACUUACUACGCACAUGGACUACAGAAAUAAGUGAGUUCCUGUGCCCAUUCAUCAAAUCACUUGAGCAUUGGUGUAAUGAGAGUAUUGUAGCGUUCUGCCACAGAAACCUGCCAGUGCAAAAGAGAAGGGGUCCAUAAGAGGGCUUUCAGCACUCAUAUCUUCAAAAGGAGUUAAUUAUAUGUAACUUCAGAAGUCCUGAAAAUUGUCUGAUAAUGGUCAAACCACCCAGGUGCUCAAGCCUUUCACUAAGAUACAACACUGUGUUACAAAUCCUGGUUCUACCUCCAGAAGAAAUGCUGUAUCUGUCUACUGCAAGUAGAGCAUUUCAUAGAGCCAGGGACCUCAGAAGCAACACCAUAGGAAGGGCUAAUUAGCUCAG